rnacentral:rRNA from 1 species
GCGGUAAUACGAAGGGUGCAAGCGUUACUCGGAAUUACUGGGCGUAAAGCGUGCGUAGGUGGUUGUUUAAGUCUGUUGUGAAAGCCCUGGGCUCAACCUGGGAAUUGCAGUGGAUACUGGGCGACUAGAGUGUGGUAGAGGGUAGUGGAAUUCCCGGUGUAGCAGUGAAAUGCGUAGAGAUCGGGAGGAACAUCCAUGGCGAAGGCAGCUACCUGGACCAACACUGACACUGAGGCACGAAAGCGUGGGGAGCAAACAGGAUUA